rfam:Erinaceus europaeus unplaced genomic scaffold scaffold00289, whole genome shotgun sequence
UGAUGUGAGGGUGAUCUGGCUGUGACAUCUGUCACCCUACUCAUCACCAGGGUUGAUUUGGCUGAUGUGGCUGGCUAGGCAGGUGUCCCCUUCCUCCCUCUCCAUGUGAGUCUCUCCUGAAGCUGAGUGCUCGGUCAAAGAGAAUGGCUUUCCCCAAAUAGAGACGAACUCGUCUUCAGUUGAGAGUAUAUGAAUAGCUGUGCUCCUCUACUAGAACCUCCAAACAAGCUCUCAAGGUCCAUCAGAAACCCUGGGCACAGAGGGAGAGGAAUCUAGACCAGCCCG